rnacentral:rRNA from 1 species
AUUGAACGCUGGCGGCAUGCCUUACACAUGCAAGUCGAACGGUAACAGGUUAAGCUGACGAGUGGCGAACGGGCGAGUAAUGUAUCGGAACGUGCCCAGUCGUGGGGGAUAACUGCUCGAAAGAGCAGCUAAAACCGCAUACGACCCGAGGGAGAAAGCGGGGGAUCGCAAGACCAUGGGCGAAUGGAGCGGUCGAUAUCAGAUUAGGUAGUUUGUGAGGUAAAGGCCCACCAAGCAGACUAUCUGUAGCUGGUCUGAGAGGACGACCAGCCACACUGGGACUGAGACACGGCCCAGACUCCUACGGGAGGCAGCAGUGGGGAAUUUUGGCCAAUGGGCGCAAGCCUGAUCCAGCCAUGCCGCGUGCGGGAAGAAGGCCUUCGGGUUGUAAACCGCUUUUGUCAGGGAAGAAAAGGUUCUGGCUAAUACCUGGGACUCAUGACGGUACCUGAAGAAUAAGCACCGGCUAACUACGUG